rnacentral:rRNA from 1 species
GAUCCUGGCUCAGGAUGAACGCUAGCGGCAGGCUUAAUACAUGCAAGUCGAACGGGAUCAGGUAGCAAUACUUGAUGAGAGUGGCGCACGGGUGCGUAACACGUAUGCAACCUACCUUUAACUGGUGAAUAGCCCCGGGAAAUCGGGAUUAAUACACCAUAACAUUACAAGAGGGCAUCCUCUAAUAAUUAAAGAACUUCGGUUAAAGAUGGGCAUGCGGGACAUUAGCUAGUUGGUGAGGUAACGGCUCACCAAGGCAACGAUGUCUAGGGGUCCUGAGAGGGUUAUCCCCCACACUGGUACUGAGACACGGACCAGACUCCUACGGGAGGCAGCAGUAAGGAAUAUUGGUCAAUGGGCGCAAGCCUGAACCAGCCAUGCCGCGUGAAGGAAGACGGCGCUAUGCGUUGUAAACUUCUUUUGUCAGGGAAUAAAUGUAGGUACGUGUACUUACUUGAAGGUACCUGAAGAAUAAGCAUCGGCUAACUCCGUGCCAGCCGCCGC